rnacentral:rRNA from 1 species
ACGGGAGGCAGCAGUAGGGAAUAUUGCACAAUGGGGGGAACCCUGAUCCAGCGACGCCGCGUGAGUGAAGAAGUAUUUCGGUAUGUAAAGCUCUAUCAGCAAGGAAGAAAAUGACGGUACUUGACUAAGAAGCUCCGGCUAAAUACGUGCCAGCAGCCGCGGUAAUACGUAUGGAGCAAGCGUUAUCCGGAUUUACUGGGUGUAAAGGGAGCGUAGACGGCGAAGCAAGUCUGAAGUGAAAUGCCGGGGCUUAACCCCGGAACUGCUUUGGAAACUGUUUUGCUAGAGUGCAGGAGAGGUAAGCGGAAUUCCUAGUGUAGCGGUGAAAUGCGUAGAUAUUAGGAAGAACACCAGAGGCGAAGGCGACAUACUGGACUGUAACUGACACUGAGGCUCGAAAGCGUGGGGAUCAAACAGGAUUAGAUACCCUGGUA